rnacentral:misc_RNA from 1 species
CUGGCGUGCACUCUUCGGUUAGACCACAACAAUCACAUUUGGCGAACUCCACUUCUGCUUGCGCUGCAAUUAGUUUAGUUGCUGUUGCAGCUGCAGCUGGUUGGGUUUCUGGGGUUGAUAUCACCAUAGGAUCACUGAUUAUGGUAGCAGACAUUUGCAAAAACUUCCCAGCAGAAGCAGAUGAAAAUAAACUUGAUGAG